CACGUAGUUAGCCGGGGCUUCUUAAUCAGGUACCGUCUGGCGACCCAAAGGUCGCUAUUUCUUCCCUGCUGAUAGAAGUUUACAACCCGAAAGCCUUCUUCCUUCACGCGGCGUUGCUGGGUCAGGCUUGCGCCCAUUGCCCAAUAUUCCCCACUGCUGCCUCCCGUAGGAGUCUGGGCCGUAUCUCAGUCCCAAUGUGGCCGGUCAACCUCUCAGUCCGGCUACUGAUCGUCGCCUAGGUGGGCCGUUACCCCGCCUACUAGCUAAUCAGACGCGAGGCCAUCUUCCAGCGAUAAAUCUUUGACAUGUCCGUGAUGCCACGGUCAUGUGUCAUGCGGUAUUAGCAGUCGUUUCCAACUGUUGUCCCCCUCUGGAAGGCAGGUUCCUCACGCGUUACUCACCAGUCCGCCACUAAGCAUUCCCUUCCAUUGUCCGAAAACUCUUUCAGGGGUGCUCCGUUCGACUUGCAUGUGUUAAGCACGCCGCCAGCGUUCGUCCUGAGCCAGGA
rnacentral:rRNA from 1 species